ACGGUUCCGGUUGACGGCGCGAUCGGCAGCACGCCCGCGCCCGUCUUGAGGAGCACCGCCGACCCGGCGACC
rnacentral:ncRNA from 1 species